rnacentral:antisense_RNA from 1 species
UACCUGUCUCCUCCCAUAGUUAGGUGCCAAGCACUGUGGAUUCUGCCCCUCAGUGUCCAGACACCCAUUUUCCUUCCCACUGUUCCUUCCCCAUGGAGAAGCCUGUGGCUGGCUGACAGCAGAGAGAGAUGCUCAACUUGGAGAAGGUGUUACCUGGGCCAGGUGGGGAAGGUUUGUUUGCAGAGCAAAGAAGUGAAGAGUCUUUUUGAUUCACAGUAUGAAAAUCAAGUGUAAUUUUUUUAAAAGAAGAAAGAAAAGCCAGUAUGGAGAAAAUGGUACAGAUAUAACUUAAUGAAUCCACAGCAGCUACAAAAGUCAGCUAAUAUAAUGCGCCACAAGCACUAACAUAAAAUCUAUGACAUAUGCCACAGAUCUGGUUUCUCACAAGAUCUAAACCCAGCAUCUGUCAGGAAAUAAACAGGAUGUGCUGACAACAG